UACGAAGGGUGCAAGCGUUACUCGGAAUUACUGGGCGUAAAGCGUGCGUAGGUGGUUCGUUAAGUCUGAUGUGAAAGCCCUGGGCUCAACCUGGGAAUUGCAUUGGAUACUGGCGGGCUAGAGUACGGUAGAGGGUGGCGGAAUUCCUGGUGUAGCAGUGAAAUGCGUAGAUAUCAGGAGGAACAUCCGUGGCGAAGGCGGCCACGUGGACCAGUACUGACACUGAGGCACGAAAGCGUGGGGAGCAAACAGG
rnacentral:rRNA from 1 species